CGCAGCCGCGGUAAUUCCAGCUCCAAUAGCGUAUAUUAAAGUUGUUGCAGUUAAAAAGCCCGUAGUUGAAUUUCGAGAUCAAAUUGUUGGUCGUGCCUCGGUACGUACUGGCAUUAUUGAUUUCCCCCUUCUGAAGAACCUUGAUGUCAUUAAUUUGGUGUCUUGGGGAAUCAGGACCGUUACUUUGAAAAAAUUAGAGUGUUUAAAGCAGGCUCACGCUUGAAUACAUUAGCAUGGAAUAAUGAAAUAGGACGUUUGAUUCUAUUUUGUUGGUUUCUAGGAUCGACGUAAUGAUUAAUAGGGAUAGUUGGGGGCAUUAGUAUUCAAUUGUCAGAGGUGAAAUUCUUGGAUUUAUUGAAGACUAACUACUGCGAAAGCAUUUGCCAAGGAUGUUUUCAUUAAUCAAGAACGAAAGUUAGGGGAUCGAAGACGAUCAGAUACCGUCGUAGUCUUAACCAUAAACUAUGCCGACUAGGGAUCGGAUGAUGUAAUUUUUUAAUGACUCAUUCGGCGCCUUACGGG
rnacentral:rRNA from 1 species